AUUGAACGCUGGCGGCAGGCCUAACACAUGCAAGUCGGACGAGCGGCGGACGGGUGAGUAAUGUAUGGGGAUCUUCCUGAUGGCUGGGGAUACCUACUGGUAACGGUAGCUACUACCGCAUACCAUCAGCUGAACCCAUAUGGGAGUAGCUAGUAGGUAAGGUAACGGCUUACCUAGGCGAUGAUCCCUAGCUGGUCUGAGAGGAUGAUCAGCCACACUGGGACUGAGACACGGCCCAGACUCCUACGGGAGGCAGCAGUGGGGAAUAUUGCACAAUGGGCGCAAGCCUGAUGCAGCCAUGCCGCGUGUAUGAAGAAGGCCUUCGGGUUGUAAAGUACUUUCAGUAGGGAGGCGUUACCGACAGAAGAAGCACCGGCUAACUCCGUGCCAGCAGCCGCGGUAAUUC
rnacentral:rRNA from 1 species